rnacentral:rRNA from 1 species
AUGCCACCUUCCGUGCACGACACGGAAGGCCUGCCAUUCAUGAAGCAUGGUUGUGUCUUCAGUGCGCACCGCCGGAUGAAAGACAUGCUGGGACACGCUAUCCCUGAUUUAUGCCGCUUCAGCUUGGAUGAGCUCCAUCUAAUAGUAGAAUUGAGAUUUAAUGCACUUUCUUCCCCAUCUUCCACUCUUCUUCCUCCUCUCUUCCCCAUCGUCGGCCGCACACCAUUUCCCCCCGCCCACUGCUCUCCCUCCCGCCCUAUCUUCCUUGGUAGCUCGCGCUACCAUAUAACUGGAAUUAACCCAUGCAAGUCGAAGAAGGAUUGGUCAGUGCUGCCGGCUGGCGUCAAGUUCGAUCCCAUGGAUCAGGAGCUGAUCAAGGACCUUGAGGCCAAAGUGAGUGCUGACAGCGCGAGAUCUCUCCCUCUCAUCGAUUUGUUCAUACCAACCAUCGACAGCGAGCACGGCAUAUGCUACACCCAUCCUGAGAAACUUCCAGGUAUCACACUGAGUGGCCUAAGGAAUCAUUUCUUCCAGCGCAAUUCCAGGGCGUUCAAAAGGGGCACGUGGUCGCGUCGCAAGAUACAGUCGGAGUGCGGCAUGCAUGCGAUGUGGCACAACACCGGCAAUACCUUGCCGGUGAUGGUCAACGGCCGGCAGACGGGCAGCAAAAAGGUUCUGGUGCUGCACACCAACAAGAACUUCGACCAGCAAAGGACCAGCUAG